UUCUGACCUGCACUCUGCUGGGGAGAACUAAGAGCAGGAUUGUGGAGGGAAGGUCCCCUUGAAAGAAGCUGAGACUCAGCAGCAGCAAGUGUAGAGCUUUAAUUUUUUAAUCUAGAAGACUAGCAGCUGUUUUCGUGUCCCAUGUAGUGCUUACAGGAGUUAAGCAGGCACAUCCCUUGAAGCAGCCUAUUCCUCACAGGCAGGAAUGGAGCUGGCGUGUGAACAGCCACCUUGGGAGUCUGGGUGAGCACUCAGCCCAGUGUCUGCCUGGGGCUCCCAGGGCAGGAAAGGUCAUUUUCCUUAGGAACCAGCUGGACCCUUCAAGCAAAGGCUAGACGCUGGGCCUUUGGAAAUCACUAAUUUUCCACUGAAAGAGUAUUUUUUAAAAAAGUGUUUACUCUGACAGUGGUAGCACUCCCUUUGUAUUACUUUUUGUUUGUUUUCCAACAAGUCAUUUUAAAAAGUCACCACUGCUUCCUGAAGAAUGUCAGUUCACUUUUAGUGACUCGCCAAGCUUUGUAUGGUCCACUCUGGAGCAGUAUUUGAUUGACUGGGUUUAUUGAUUGGGCUGACCUUCAGAAAAAUUCAGAGAUGCAAUAGCUGCCCAAACUCUUGUUGCUAUUUCUCUGGUGUGGACUCUGCCUUGUAUUUGAGACGACAUGAACACGUUCUGAGUGGUGCAGUCAACAGCCCAGUGGAUACACAGUGUGGAAGGCCAGAGGAAACAAAUCCCUGAGAAGCUGCUUGGAAAUAUUCUGAAGACAUUUAGAGUAGCCAUUUGGUAACAGGUUACCUCAUCUGUACAAUGGGGCAAUAAGACUUGUCCCUGCUUCCCUCCAGGGAAGUUAUGAAAUGUAAAAUAAUUCAUGACUGAUGUGUUUGAACACCUUGGAAGAAAUAUGAUAUAUAAGCAUAUGAUACCAUGAUUACCUCCAUGGUAAAAAGAAAUUAUUAAAAUAACAAUAAUAUGUACAUUUUCAACACCUACAGUUGUAUAUGAAAUACAUAACCCUUUUUAUUGUUUUCUGUCUAAUCCACUGCACCUGUGUUAAAAAAUGUAGCCCAAUGGCCCAAUUUGAAAAAAACACAUAAAAUUUAGACAAGUACUUAUUCUUUUAGUCACCCCAUUGUGCCUAGGUCUCACAGAACAGAUUUUAAAUAAUAUACUACC